rnacentral:rRNA from 1 species
UACGUAGGCAGCGAGCGUUGUUCGGAAUUACUGGGCGUAAAGGGUGUGUAGGCGGUUCUUUAAGUUUGGUGUGAAAUCUCCCGGCUCAACCGGGAGGGUGCGCCGAAUACUGAGGGACUAGAGUGCGGGAGAGGAAAGUGGAAUUCCUGGUGUAGCGGUGAAAUGCGUAGAUAUCAGGAGGAACACCGGUGGUGUAGACGGCUUUCUGGACCGUAACUGACGCUGAGACACGAAAGCGUGGGUAGCAAACAGG